rnacentral:tRNA from 1 species
GGGGUUGUAGCUCAGUGGUAGAGUAUUUACCUCUCAUGUGUAAGGCACUGGGUUUGAUUCCCAGCACCACA